CUCCAACAGAUCAGCAUCAGCUGUGCCUGCUUGAGAGGAGCCAUCACAUUUGUGAACGGUUACAUCCACGUUUGUGGAUGAGGAGAGGGCUUCCCAACCAGCAAGUCUUUCCAGAUUGUCAGCAGAGCCCAGACCACACCUUAGCUCCACAGCCGCUUUGAAUUUAUGGAUGCAGUUAGCUAUGGUGUUUACUCUCCCUGCCCCUCUGUAUUGUUAACCUCCCCUCCCCCAAGCUGGACUCCCCUUGAAGGAGCUCUUUGUUUCCCCCUUAGUUGUAGCUUUUAUCAGACAGCAGUGGGGGUCAGAGGGUUUGAGUGGCAGGCUUCGCAGGCAGUCUGGUGACUGACUGUCUUGGUGGGUUUAAAGAAAACAGAGAGGGCUGAAGCACCCGGGGAGAUGCGUCCCCACGCCCCUGUAACUGAGAAACAAUACCACUCAAUAUUCCAACCGGCUGGGGCUGGAGCGAUGGCUCAGAAGUUCAGAAUG
rnacentral:lncRNA from 1 species